UGCAGAGGUCCCAAGCGUUGUUCGGAUUCACUGGGCGUAAAGGGUGCGUAGGUGGUGAGGUAAGUCGGAUGUGAAAGCUCGGAGCUCAACUCCGAAAUGGCAUUGGAAACUACCUUGCUCGAGGGUUGGAGGGGGGACUGGAAUACUUGGUGUAGCAGUGAAAUGCGUAGAUAUCAAGUGGAACACCAGUGGCGAAGGCGAGUCCCUGGACAACUCCUGACACUGAGGCACGAAAGCUAGGGGAGCAAACAGG
rnacentral:rRNA from 1 species